GGGGGCAAGCGUUCCCCAGCCCUCACCUUCCGGUUCCGGCCCCCACAGGUGGAGGGAGGCUAGACGAGAGAGAGAGAGAGGUACCCGCUCCCUCCGCCCUGCUUGCUAGGACCCGCGAGACGCUAAAAAAACCGACGAGAUUUAGCAACUUGGUGGUUUGGUUCGGUUGUUGGUGCGUGCGUGGUUGGUGACAUGCGCGGCCGUUUCAUCGUUUUUAUUAUUCGAUUAAUUGCUGUUUGAUUCUGCAUCCGUGCGUGCGGGCGCUUGUUCGUGAAUCCGCCGUAUCGCGGCGGCGGCGGAGGAAUCUGCGCCGCCGUGCAGGGGUAACAGAGCGAGGCGUGCGGUUCAACCAUGUCGACGGCGCAAGGGACAGCGUUGAAGUCGGCGCCGAUGGGCGCAGGUCGUCGGGCCCGGCGCGGCCGGCCCGUGGCGGCGCCAUACCGUUCCGGUUGGCAAGCCUACGGUGGCGUGUCUCUCGAGGGCAGCGGGUUCCUCGGCGGCGUGCAGCGCACCGAGGAGCGCGUAGCGCCGCGGGCUCACCGCGCGGCGGUACGCGAGGCCGAGGUCGUCAGGCCGCUCUCGAAGCUCCCGGACAACAGCAUUGGUCUCUACGACCCCUCGUUCGAGCGUGACGCGUGCGGCGUUGGGUUUGUCGCUGAGCUUUCUGGCGAUUACAAACGCGAGACUGUCAAUGAUGCUAUUGAGAUGCUUGAGAGAAUGGCGCACCGGGGAGCCUGUGGUUGUGAGAAGAACACUGGAGAUGGUGCAGGCAUCAUGGUUGCUCUGCCACAUGACUUCUUCAAAGAGGCCACAAAGGAUGCUGGAUUUGAGCUACCCCCACCAGGCGAGUAUGGUGUUGGAAUGUUCUUCAUGCCAACUGAUGAAAGGCGUCGUGAGAAGGGCAAAGCUGAGUUUAAGAAGGUUGCAGAAUCACUGGGGCAUGUUAUACUCGGGUGGCGGCCUGUUCCAACUGACAACUCAGACUUGGGUGAAUCUGCACUGGAGACCGAGCCAGCCAUUGAGCAGGUUUUCAUUACCAAGAGUUCCAGAUCAGAGGCUGAGUUUGAGCAACAGCUAUAUAUUCUUAGGAGACUCUCCAUCAGGUCUAGCCGAGCUGCUCUGGAUAUACGGCGUGGAGGGGAGAGGGAUUUCUACAUGUGCUCUCUAUCUUCAAGGACUAUUGUGUACAAGGGCCAGCUUAAGCCGUGCCAACUUAAGGGGUACUACUAUGCAGACCUAGGUCAUGAAAACUUCACAAGUUAUAUGGCUCUGGUUCACUCAAGAUUCUCCACGAACACCUUUCCCAGCUGGGACCGUGCGCAGCCAAUGCGUGUUUUAGGCCAUAAUGGAGAAAUCAAUACCCUUAAAGGAAACAAGAACUGGAUGACAGCACGUGAGGGUUUCUUAGAGGCUGAGAAGCUUGGCUUAUCAAAGGAGCAGCUGUCAAUACUUCUACCAAUUGUGGAUGCUACCUCUUCAGACUCAGGUGCAUUUGAUAACGUUCUUGAGCUUCUUGUCCGUGGCGGGCGAAGCAUGCCAGAAGCUGUGAUGAUGAUGAUCCCUGAGGCAUGGCAGAACGAUGCAAAUAUGGAACCUGAAAAGAAAGCUCUAUAUGAAUUUCUGUCAGCACUUAUGGAGCCCUGGGAUGGACCUGCUCUAAUAUCUUUUACUGAUGGCCGCUACCUUGGAGCUACCCUGGACCGCAAUGGUUUGAGGCCCGGUAGAUUUUAUGUGACCCACAGUGGACGCGUGAUCAUGGGUAGUGAAGUUGGUGUUGUUGAUGUCCCUCCUGAAGAUGUGUUGAGAAAGGGCAGGCUGAACCCUGGAAUGAUGCUAUUGGUUGAUUUCGAGAAUCACACUGUUGUGGAUGAUGAAGCUCUGAAAUCACAGUACUCUAAAGCUCAUCCAUAUGGUGAAUGGCUCAAGAGACAAAAGCUAUACCUUAAAGACAUUGUGGAAUCUGUGCCAGAAGCGGAUAGAAUUCCUCCAAGCAUUUGUGGCUCUUCUCCACAGAAGAAUGUGACCAAGGAGCAUGUUGGUGUCAAUGGAAUUAUGAUUCCAUUGAAGGCCUUUGGGUACACAGUAGAAGCCCUGGAAAUGUUGUUGCUGCCAAUGGCUAAGGAUGGAGUGGAAGCUCUUGGCUCCAUGGGAAACGAUACACCACUCGCAGUGAUGUCAAACAGGGAGAAGCUGACUUUUGAGUACUUCAAGCAGAUGUUUGCACAAGUUACAAACCCACCAAUUGACCCUAUUAGAGAGAAAAUCGUAACAUCUAUGGAGUGUAUGAUUGGCCCAGAAGGUGACUUGCUGGAAACAACCGAAAAACAAUGCAACCGCCUUGCCCUUAAAGGUCCUUUGGUUUCUAUUGAUGAAAUGGAGGCUAUUAAAAAGAUGAAUUACCGUGGUUGGCGAAGCAAGGUGCUUGACAUAACUUAUCCGAAGAAGUCUGGAAGGAAGGGCCUUGAAGAAACUUUGGACAGAAUUUGCGCUGAAGCUCGUAAAGCCACACACCAAGGCUACACUAUUUUGGUUCUCUCAGAUAGAGGAUUUUCCUCAGACCGUGUUGCUGCCAGUUCUCUCUUAGCGGUUGGAUCUGUACAUCAGCACCUUGUUGCAAAUCACGAGAGAACACGUGUAGGAUUGCUGGUUGAGUCAGCUGAACCUCGUGAAGUGCACCAUUUCUGUACCCUGGUUGGAUUUGGUGCUGAUGGUAUAUGCCCGUAUUUGGCUAUUGAAGCAAUUUGGUGCUUGCAGAAUGAUGGGAAGAUUCCUCCUAAUGGAGAUGGGCAACCCUGCUCAAAGGAAGAGCUGGUGAAGAAGUACUUCUAUGCUUCUAACUAUGGAAUGAUGAAAGUUCUUGCAAAGAUGGGAAUAUCCACCCUUGCAUCCUACAAAGGUGCUCAGAUUUUUGAAGCUCUUGGUCUUUCUUCCGAAGUGAUUGACAAGUGUUUUGAAGGUACACCUAGCAGAAUUGAGGGUGCAACAUUUGAAAUGCUUGCACGAGAUGCUCUUCGUCUUCAUGAGUUAGCUUUCCCAUCAAGAGCCCCUCCACCUGGCAGUGCAGACGCAAAGGCCCUUCCCAACCCAGGGGACUACCACUGGAGGAAAAAUGGUGAAGUUCACCUCAACGACCCACUUGCAAUUGGUAAAUUACAGGAAGCAGCUAGAGUCAACAGCCGGGCAGCAUACAAAGAAUAUUCAAAGCGAAUUCAGGAGCUCAACAAGACCUGCAAUCUACGUGGCAUGCUGAAAUUUAAAGAUAUCACUGACAAGAUAUCUUUGGAUGAGGUUGAACCUGCAAGUGAAAUAGUGAAACGUUUUUGUACUGGAGCAAUGAGUUAUGGGUCUAUUUCAUUGGAAGCACAUACUGCCCUUGCUACGGCAAUGAACAAACUUGGAGGGAAAUCAAAUACAGGUGAGGGAGGGGAACAGCCAUCUCGUAUGGAACCACUACCUGAUGGUUCAAUGAACCCAAAACGAAGUGCAAUCAAGCAAGUUGCUAGUGGACGGUUUGGAGUUUCCAGCUAUUACCUGACUAAUGCAGAUGAGCUGCAGAUAAAAAUGGCCCAGGGUGCCAAGCCUGGUGAAGGUGGCGAGCUUCCAGGUCACAAGGUUAUUGGUGACAUUGCUGUCACAAGACAUUCUACAGCUGGUGUGGGACUCAUUAGCCCUCCUCCCCAUCAUGAUAUAUAUUCAAUUGAGGAUCUUGCACAGCUUAUACAUGAUCUUAAGAAUUCAAACCCUGGAGCCCGUAUCAGUGUCAAACUAGUCUCGGAGGCUGGAGUUGGAGUUGUUGCUAGUGGUGUUGUAAAAGGGCAUGCUGAUCAUGUUCUUAUUUCUGGACAUGAUGGAGGCACGGGAGCUUCGAGAUGGACAGGUAUCAAGAAUGCUGGACUUCCAUGGGAACUUGGAUUGGCUGAGACACAUCAAACUCUGGUAGCAAAUGGGCUUCGCGGUCGUGCUGUUCUGCAAACAGAUGGACAGUUAAAGACUGGUAGAGAUGUUGCUGUUGCUUGCUUGCUUGGUGCAGAGGAAUUUGGUUUCAGCACUGCCCCACUGAUCACACUUGGCUGUAUUAUGAUGCGAAAAUGCCACAUGAACACCUGUCCUGUUGGUAUAGCUACUCAAGACCCAGUGCUUCGAGCAAAGUUUGCUGGAGAACCAGAACAUGUCAUUAACUUUUUCUUCAUGCUUGCCGAGGAGCUAAGAGAAAUCAUGGCGAACCUUGGGUUCCGCACCAUCACUGAAAUGGUUGGACGCUCUGAUAUGCUUGAGGUUGAUCCAGAAGUGGUGAAGAGCAAUGAGAAACUUGAGAACAUUGAUCUCUCACUGAUCUUGAAGUCAGCUGCAGAGAUUCGUCCAGGUGCUGCUCAGUACUGUGUUGAGAAGCAAGAUCAUGGCCUUGACAUGGCAUUGGAUAACAAACUAAUAGAUUUGUCAAGAACUGCUAUUGAAAAGCAGGUUCGUGUUUUCAUUGAGACUCCAAUCCGGAACACGAAUCGAGCAGUUGGAACUAUGCUCAGUCAUGAAGUCACUAAACGUUAUCACAUGAAUGGGUUGCCUGCUGGUACAAUUCAUGUGAAGUUCACUGGAAGUGCUGGUCAAAGUUUUGGCGCUUUUCUCUGUCCUGGAAUCACUCUUGAAUUAGAAGGAGACAGCAAUGAUUAUGUUGGUAAAGGAUUAUCUGGUGGAAAAAUUGUUGUGUACCCGCCAAGGAACAGUUCAUUUAGCCCAGAGGACAAUAUUGUCAUUGGUAAUGUAGCUCUAUAUGGUGCUACCAAGGGAGAGGCGUAUUUCAAUGGUAUGGCAGCAGAAAGGUUUUGUGUUCGAAACUCAGGUGCUCAAGCAGUGGUUGAAGGAAUUGGAGACCAUGGAUGCGAGUACAUGACUGGAGGUACUGUGGUUAUCCUUGGAAAAACAGGACGGAACUUUGCUGCUGGGAUGAGUGGAGGCAUUGCUUAUGUUUAUGAUGUUGAUGGGAAAUUCAGUUCUCGCUGCAACAAUGAGUUAGUUGACCUAUAUCCUGUCGAGGAAGAGGAUGACAUCAUCACAUUGAAAAUGAUGAUUGAACAACAUCGACGCAACACUGAGAGUGUUUUAGCCAGAGACAUACUCUCUGACUUUAGUAAUCUUCUUCCAAAAUUCGUAAAAGUAUAUCCAAGGGAUUAUAAGAGGGUUUUGGAAAACAUGAAAGUGGAAAAGGCUGCUGCUAAGCCGGCAAAGGAUCCUAAGAUGGCAAAUGGUAUUUCUGUGACAACCAAGAAAGUACAACCUGAUCAGUCAGCUGGCCGACCAACACGUGUUACCAAUGCCAAAAAGUACCGGGGUUUUAUUUCAUAUGAGCGAGAGAGUAUUUCUUACCGAGAUCCAAAAGAGCGUGUUAAAGAUUGGAAGGAAGUUGCGAUUGAGUCAACACCAGGCCCGCUAUUGAACACACAAUCUGCUCGCUGUAUGGAUUGUGGCACUCCUUUCUGUCAUCAGGAAAGCUCAGGUGCUGGCUGUCCUCUUGGAAAUAAGAUCCCAGAGUUCAAUGAAUUAGUUCACCAGAAUAGAUGGCGUGAAGCAUUGGAUCGAUUAUUAGAGACAAACAAUUUCCCAGAAUUUACUGGACGAGUUUGCCCUGCUCCUUGCGAGGGGUCAUGUGUUCUUGGGAUCAUUGAAAAUCCAGUGUCUAUCAAAAGCAUAGAAUGCGCAAUCAUUGACAAAGGUUUUGAAGAGGGAUGGAUGGUGCCGCGGCCUCCACUUCAAAGAACAGGAAAGAAGGUGGCCAUUGUUGGUAGUGGACCAUCUGGUUUGGCUGCCGCGGAUCAACUUAACAAAAUGGGCCAUUUUGUAACUAUGUUUGAGCGUGCAGACCGUAUUGGAGGUUUAAUGAUGUAUGGUGUACCAAACAUGAAGACAGACAAGAUCGGCAUUGUUCAACGCCGUGUUAAUUUAAUGGCUGAAGAGGGUGUCACUUUUGUGGUGAAUGCCAAUGUGGGUAGUGAUCCUUUAUACUCAAUUGAACGUCUACGUUCUGAGAAUGAUGCAGUUAUUUUGGCUUGUGGAGCAACAAAACCAAGGGAUCUCACCAUUCCUGGUCGUGAGCUAUCAGGAGUUCAUUUUGCAAUGGAAUUUCUCCAUGCAAAUACCAAAAGUUUACUCGACAGCAACCUUGAGGAUGGUAAUUACAUAUCUGCCAAGGGGAAAAAAGUGGUGGUUAUUGGUGGAGGUGAUACAGGCACAGAUUGCAUUGGUACAUCUAUUAGGCAUGGUUGCAGCAGUCUUGUAAAUCUUGAACUUCUGACUAAACCACCGAGCAAGAGAGCUGCUGAUAACCCGUGGCCUCAGGACUUUCUCAGCUUGGCUUCUUAUUUGCUUAUUUCUCCUUUUGCCUGUAGUGGCCAAGAAUUUUCCGUGUUGACUAUGGGCAUCAAGAAGCUGCUACCAAAUUCGGGAAGGAUCCAAGAACUUAUGAAGUUAUGACAAAGCGUUUUAUUGGCGAUGAAAAUGGCAAGGUGAAGGCCCUUGAGGUAGUGCGUGUGAAGUGGGAGAAAGUAGAUGGAAGAUUUCAACUCAAGGAGAUUGAAGGAUCAGAAGAAAUCAUCGAGGCUGAUCUUGUCCUCCUAGCUAUGGGAUUCCUGGGUCCUGAAGCGACUAUCGCUGACAAACUGGGUCUGGAGAAGGACAACAGAUCAAACUUCAAAGCCCAGUUUGGAGACUUCGCCACCAGCGUUGAUGGCGUUUUCGCAGCUGGGGACUGCAGACGUGGACAAUCACUGGUGGUUUGGGCCAUCACAGAGGGGCGGCAGGCUGCUGCAGCGGUGGAUAAGUACUUGACAACGGACGAUGAGAAUGCUGUAGGCGAUAUCACCCCUUCCGGGGCAGGUCUCGUUCAGCCGGUUGCCGCAUAAAAGCGAAAUAUGUUUUAGGUUCUCGUUAGGAUAUCCUGUGAUUGAUCACAUCAAAUGGUGUUCUUGUAGUUGUCUAUGAAACAGAUAAUGCUCGGGCUCAUUAAGGAAAGAAAGCCCUUCUAUAUUUUGAUGGUAGAUAAACAGUUGGAAGUUUCGGCGGCUAUUGGCUUUUAUUCUCUUGUUAUAUUUUGUGGUUUUGUAGUCAGAAUAAUGUACAGUCCUUUUGAAUUAAUAGAUGUAAAUUUGCUGGGUAA